UCUGAAAUAUCAGCAGUAUUCGGAUAAACUGGCUUUAAAAACACUUAAUGAAUAAGUGUUUGGACUCAAACUUCAGACCAAUCCUCUGUAGCUACCCCUGUCUUGACUUCUGAAUGAUCAUUUUCACUCAGUUGUUUCAGCAAGCAGCUGUCUGUCUCCUGAACAUCUUAAACUGGCUAAGCUGCUUUGUUUGCUGGACUUCUAUUCCUGCUUCCUCAUCUUAGUGGCAGGUGGCACAAGUUCUUGGUGGCUGAUCAUUAAGUCUCCCUUUGUUUUAUGACUGCCUCUGAACAGGAGAAGCCUCUCCAGUUUUUGAAAAGAGCCUGGAGUUUUGUCCUUACCCUUUGCUGCCUGGCCACAGCACAGCUGCAUGUGGUGAAGGUGACGCAGUCAGAACUUGGCAAAAUAGAAGCUGUGCGUCAUUUAACUUACCUAGGUGAUUGAUGGAGCAGAAAAACUAACGACCCAUGAAGGAACAAAUGUUUCUCAAACAAAAGGUAAAUAAAUCUGAUAAUGGAGCUGUAAGGAUGGGUGAAAAUCAGAGGUUGUAAGUGCCCUUAAAUCCCCCUGAAACUGCAGCCUCAGACCUUCUGCAUGAAUUUCUAUGGGGAGAAGAAAAGCAAUAACUUUGGGAGUGUCAAAAGCUGUGAUGCAGAGAAAAUUAAUGUUUACAUCAUUUUUAAAUGCAUACAGUUUGUAAUACACAUUGAGAGCUAGCUGAGGACACAAUUGCAAAAUGCAUUGUAUUGUAAGUGCACUGCAACGGCUGCAGAGAGCCCCUGGAUCAUAUUGACGGGAUGGCACGCCAGCUGGAUCCAACUAAGAAUUCCUCAUCAAGGUGUGUUUAAACUCCGAGAAUACAAAAUCUUUUUCCAUUAAGUAUGAUAGCUACGUAGUCAUUUUUAGUGUUCUCUUUUCUCAUGCUAUUCGCUUUAUUGCUGUCCACCUUGGGAUUCCUGCUACUAUGGGAUUUCUUACUGGGCUGAUGCUUGGCCAAUAUUUGUCCAACUUCUCUUUUUUUUGUCUCCUGUGAAAACUGUCUGAAACUAAGCAGAAACUAACCUUAAUUUAUUUCUUUAAUAAACAAAAUUAAGAUACUGCAUAUUAAUAAAAAAUGAAAAGUAUUCCCUUGUUGGUUUUCUUUUUUUUUUUUUUUUUUUUUAAGUUUCCCAAAACAGUCCCAUAUCUCUGUCAAAGUUAACGUAACUAGAAUUUCCAUGGGAAUUUGUGUUGAUCUGGGGAAACUGGAACUGGCUAAUGUAAAUAACUAUAGCCCAUCCUCCA
rnacentral:lncRNA from 1 species